GGACUAUCAUAAUCUCAUUUUAAAAAGACCUCCUUUUCCAUCUAAGAAAACUAAGGCUCAGAUCUUGUGACAUGCCCUGUAUCCCAGUGAAACAGGAUUGAAAACCAGCCUUGGAAAUCCAGAGAUGCUGGCAGCACAUUGGACCACCCUGUGACCCCUCCUUGGAAAGGAAGACAUCAUUAGCUCUCCUGUCUAGCCAAAACGUGAUUAUUUUCCCUCUUUCUCAUUCUGUAGACAAGAUCCACUCCCUUCCAAAGUAGCUCCCAAAGAACCAGUGCCAAGAUCUUGGGGAGAGGUAUGUGUGCAAGAUUUACGUGAACAUACACAUACACGGAGAUAAUGUAUGACAGCCAAACAGCACAGACAAUUGUCAUCUGUGGCACUGGGCUUAGAUGAUGUUUGGAAUGUGCUCUGAAGGAUGAGACACUAAAUUUCAUCACCCCCAAUUGAAGAUAUCAGGAUUGCAAAAGAAAUGCAAGAGAAGAAAAGAUAAGGAACUGAAGUGAAUGCUCUCAGCAAUAUAAAGGAGGUGUGGGGCUUCCUGCAGUGAAAAAGACAGCCCUCUCUGUCUUGCAUUGGAUUCAUUUAUGUCCUGUGUCUUUUCAGGCUCUGCCUGCUUUUUUAAUGUCAUGAUCCUUCUGGGUUAAGAUCUGGCAAAACUGACAACAAGGAAAUCUUUUCCCAUGCAAGGUUAGAUGUGAACAUAGUACAACAUCAACAGUGUUUGAAAUGAUGGUAUAGAGAAGGCUUUUAAAUAAAAAAAGAGUUGUAGGUCAAAAUGUUGAUUUUAAAAUAAUAAUAACAACAAUAAUAUUAACAAUAGGCUAAUUUAGAAGCGACCAUAGAAUCAUAGAAUACUUAGAGUUGGAAAGGAUCUUAAGAUCAUCCACUUCCAACCCCCUGCCAUGAGCAGGGACACCUCACACUAGACCAUGUCACCCAAGGCUCUGUCCAACCUGGCCUUGUACACUGCCAGGGAUGGAACAUUUACCACUUCUUUGGGCACCCUGUGCCAGGGCCUCGCCACCCUCACAGUAAAGAACUUCUUCCUUAUAUCUAACCUGAACUUCCCCUGUUUCAGUUUGAACCCAUCACUACAGUUUGAACCCUUGUCCUAUCACUACAGUCCCUGAUGAAGAGAGUCUCCGAUUACCAGUUACUUGUUUUAGGACACUGUAAUUUUACUGUGAUUUUAGCCUUCUUAGUUACAAAAACUGAUUCUUCAUAUAGUUUUCCGACACAUCUUAAAGACAAUGAAUCUCCAUAGCUUUCAGCUAUGGAACUUUGCAAGAACCCCUCUUGCUGUGACCUCUGAAAAGUUGUUGUUGCAGAAUCAAAGUAACAGGAUUGUAAUAUAAUUUACAGCAGAUGCAAACAGAAGUGAGGCAGAUUUUAUCUCCUGCCUGGUGAAGCAACACUUGAUUAAAGAUUAAAAAAGAAAAGAAGAGUGCUACAUACCAAGUAUGUUACAAGGACUUCAACAGCUAUGUCUGGAUCAAAUACAGCGUGCAGGGACUGCUGAAGAUCAGAAGAACCUGAUUUAAUGUUUGGGGUUUUUUAUUGCCCAUGUGCCAUGCAACCUUGGAUAAGACACUGCUCCUCAGAAUCUCUUCUAGUUUAAUUCUCAUUCUUAUCAGUAAUCCCUAAUUUGGUUUAAGCUCUUCAGGAGAGGUGCUAAAUCCACUAGAGGAAGUUUUUUCAUGGUCUAGUCUAUAGGCACUUCUACAGCACAACUGUAAAGGCACUGUUGAUACUAGUGGGUCAAGGGCCUAAUGCUUACCUAACUGGUUCUUAACAUGCACACACUGACUUAAAAAGAGUCUUGUUGGAGAUUAUUUAAUUCAUGCUUCAAUAAGAGCUUUCCCUGAGAAAACACUGACUCACAUAACACCACCUCUCUUCAUCUUGUGGUGAUGACAUGACAGCAGCACUCGCAUAUCUCAGUAAUGAUCAAAGCUCCUUCAGUAAUAGGUGUUGCAAGGACACAAAAAAGUGGUUCUUGUCAAAAAACAUCCCUCGCUGAGGAGAAUUUAAUUUCAUUUAAGAAGCACAAAUAUAGGCAGCUGAGCUCCUGCGUAGUCAUAGAAUCAUGAAAUGGUUUGGGUUAGAAGGAACCUUAAAACUCAUUCAGUUCCAACCCCCUGCCACAGGCAGGGACACCUUCCACUAGAGCAGGUUGCUCCAAGCCCCUGUGUCCAACCUGGCCUUGAACACUGCCAGGGAUGGGGCAGCCACAGCUUCUCUGGGAAAAGUCUGUGCCAGCGCCUCAGCACCCUCACAGGGAAGAGCUUCUGCCUAAGAGCUCAUCUCAAUUUCCCCUCUGACAGGUUGAAGUCAUUCCCCCUUUUCCUGUCCCUCCAGGCCCUUGCCCAAAGCCCCUCUCCAGAUUUCCUGGAGCCCCUUUAGGCACUGGAGCUGCUCUAAGGUCUCCCCUUCAGGAGCCUUCUCUUCUCCAGCCUGCCCCAGCCCAGC
ensembl:lncRNA